ACUGUGGCUCAGUCGGUAGAGCAGCUGAUUCGUAAUCAGCAGGUCGUCGGUUCGAUCCCGAUCAG
rnacentral:tRNA from 1 species